AACAAAAAGUAAAGUAAUUAAAAAGAAGUGGUUUGUACAGAAAGAGGCAAGCACUUGAAAAAAAAAAAAAAAGUACCUAGAUAAUAUCAUUGCCCUGCAGGAAGCUGUGAGCACGGUAAAGGUCGGGCUCCAGCUCAGACAGGCUCCCUGGCUUCCCACCAAGCUCAGCUUUGCGCUAAAGUUGUCUGCAAGGCACCAAUUUAAGGACAGUUUUAUACACUUAAAAGACUGGGCACAACCGGAACAGCUUGUGUGAAAGAGAAGGAACAGAAAAAUGUGACAUCCAAAAGAGUAGGAAACAGAAACAUGACUUGAUGCCACUUGGGCAAGGCCACCAAGGAAGGUGGCAAGGUACAGCAGAAUUGUACCUUGAGAUUUCCCAGAGGCGAAGCCUGAGGUGAAUUUUCAUAAACUCCGUGG